AAGGCUUUUCCUCUCUCCUCCCUCUCUCUUCCUCCCGCUGGAUCUCUCUGGGGUGCGCGGGGGGCCAUGACCGGACCCCUGUGCAUCCGGGGGGGCUGAGGCGUCCCCUCUCACCCUCGUCCUGCGGAGAGCCCGUCGCCGAGCGCGGGGACCGUCGUCCAGAAAGAGCCUGUCAUUUUAUCUUGGGGUUUCUCGGAACCGCUGAGCGAGCCAGACGCUGCGGCCGCUUCCGCCCUUCUCGGUGGAGCAGCUGCUGCCGGUGGCUUUCCCCUCCGCUGGCCAAGUGCAUCACCGGGGACGCGGAUCCGGGAGUGCUUGAGGAAGAUUUGUACUUUUCCCAGAGAAGGGUUUUUCUUGCUGUGUCUUUUGCCUCAGCCAGGCCCAGAAGUGGAUCAAACCAGUCCUGCACUGUUGUAUUUAGUCCAUAGCAAAACUCCCUUUGAGGAAGAUUCUGCAGACUUAAGGACUGAGGAGUUAGGACCGGGAGCUAAGGAAAGGACAUGAAUAACUUCCAUCAUAGAUGGUUUUAAAAAGCCAGCUGCUCUCUACAGUCAAGCCAAAACUAAGGGGAGAUGGUCUGAGGUUUAGAAAUAUGCAGGAAAAUUUUCACACUAAAUAUGAAAAAUGAGAAAUUAUCUUAACAUAUUGUAACUUGUCAUAAAAAUACAUGUUCCUUUCCAGCUUUAAAAGAGGA